CAAAGAAAAGACGGGCAGUGAUCAAUGAUGCCAUUAUAGUGGAUGCUCUGGUUUCAGUCACAGUGAACGGUCAGCAGAGACCAGCACUCAGCAUCUCCAGCAGAGUUCAAAAGUGCAUGUUAACUGAUAUGAACAGACACAGAAGAGCUCAUUUACAUCAGAGCAGGAACAAAGUACAGUGUGGAAAUGAGAGACGACUGUAGGCCUUUGAGAUGUGGGCAGUAACACGGACCAUCACACCACCACAGACUUCUUCUUUAAUUCUGAAGGUCAGGAUUCCCCUCAUUCAAGGUGGUAUAACUCAUCAUCCAUUGAAGGCCUAUAGAGGUAGAUGAAGGCAAAAAUAGCUGCUGCCACAAUGCACUCCCUGUAGACUUUUACUCAAGGGUCUGCUGGAGUGUGAGAACGGAUGGGAGUCAUGACAAAAUGGGAGGAAAUGUGUGGUGUCCAACAAUGCCCAUCUCCUCUGGGAGGAGGUGCAAAGGUCAAGGUGCUGAGUUAGUCACAUCCACCCACUGCCUACCUCACUAUCUGACUCUCUCCUGGAUGUUACAGCAACGAGCAACCAAAUGAAACUUACUGCCACCUUGAACAACAUUACAGGUUUCUCUGGUUUAGUAUUGUCGUAAAAUUGGACAAAAUGUAAGUAAACAACUCAAUAAAAUAAUCAACAAAGGUCUAGUCAUUUUUAUACUUUUUGUUGUAGGAAUGUGACUCAUAAUGGAGAGGAUUAUUAUCCUCAGGCAUCACAUUCAUCCUGAGGUAAGCACUAUGAUGGACCCUUUUCAGUUCCCUUACCAUGUCG